AAGGAAAAAUGGCAAACCCGCUCGAAAGACGGGGACGCAAAGCCACGGGUCUGCGGCCGUAAGGCUAUGAUCGCCGGGUUACCCUA
rfam:Paenibacillus sp. oral taxon 786 str. D14 genomic scaffold supercont1.6, whole genome shotgun sequence.